UACGUAGGGGGCAAGCGUUGUCCGGAUUUAUUGGGCGUAAAGAGCGUGUAGGCGGCUUUACAGGUCCGUUGUGAAAACUCGAGGCUCAACCUCGAGACGCCGGUGGAAACCGUAAAGCUAGAGUCCGGAAGAGGAGAGUGGAAUUCCUGGUGUAGCGGUGAAAUGCGCAGAUAUCGGGAGGAACACCAGUGGCGAAGGCGGCGAUCUGGGCAGUUACUGACGCUGAGGUGCGAAAGCGUGGGGAGCAAACAGG
rnacentral:rRNA from 1 species